ACUCCUGAGAAGACCUGACCUGAUCGCGCCAACAUGGCUAGGACCAGAAGAGCCAGACGUCGCUAUCUUAGAAGACAAACUGAGAUGGAAGAGAGAAGAUUAGCCAUGAAAACCACCCGGUCCAGACAGCGCAGAACUAGGCGGAGGACGAGAACUAAGAGAGUUCCCAAAGGCAGCAGAAGGUGGUGUGCUAUCCCAGGAAGACAGUGAUCCUUCAGCUGCUCCCAACGAUCACCCAGGCUCCAGAAGAUUCCAGAAGAGCCAUGGAAUAUCAUCCCAAGAUGACUGAAUCCACGAGUGAAUGGGUCCAACACCUGUCUUAGGAACCUAUAAUUGUAGUGUUUUCGGGUGGCAUUAAACUGAUUGAAACUAA